rnacentral:rRNA from 1 species
AUACGGAAGGUCCGGGCGUUAUCCGGAUUUAUUGGGUUUAAAGGGAGCGCAGGCGGAGAUGCAAGCGUGACGUCAAAUUUCGGGGCUCAACCCCGUCUCGCGUCGCGAACUGCGUCCCUUGGUUGCGGGAAGGGGAGGCGGAACUCGUGGUGUAGCGGUGAAAUGCAUAGAUAUCACGAAGAACUCCGAUCGCGAAGGCAGCCUGCCGGUCCGUCAACGACGCUCAUGCUCGAAGGUGCGGGUAUCAAACAGGAUUAGAUACCCUGGUAGUCCGCACAGUAAACGAUGGACACUCGCGGUUUGGCCUGUAUGGCUGAGCCGCCAAGCGAAAGCGUUAAGUGUCCCACCUGGGGAGUACGCCGGCAACGGUGAAACUCAAAGGAAUUGACGGGG